AGGAGCUUAUCAACAAAAAAAAAUAAAAAUCUUGCACCCGCCACUUUCAUAAACCCUGAAGGUACAUUGGUUGAAGCUUUUUUAUUAUAAGCUUCCCUGUACAAGUAAAUUUGCUAUUUUUGACAUUAUGUACGCACGGCUGAAUGCUGAUGAAUCAAAUGGUGGUGACUCGUGAGUGAUCCUGACAUUUUUUGGCUCAUCUUCAUGAGGUUCGUUUUAUACAAUUUUAGCCCUUCAGUUUCAAGUGACAAAGAUGUAGGAUUAAAUGUACUUAAGAUUGUUGUAAUUGAAGCUCUCAAGCAUUAGUUUAGUUUUGAGUUAUUUCUGAAUAUAUUUUCUAGAGAGUUGUUUUAUCUGUUGAUUCAAUUCUGAUGAGGAUAUCUUUUAUUGUAUAGUCACAGGCUGCUGUUGUGUGUGUUGCUUAUCUUCUAUGAUCGAAUUUGAUUGUCAAUUAAUUUUCUAUACAAUUAAUAGAUAAAAUUGGUGUUUAUAUCUCUUUAAAGAUUUCUUUCUUCCCUAAAUAUUUCUUGUGGAAUAUCAGUAAUAGUGCUUUGUGGAAUUUGCAAGAAACUAAUGAAGCACCUCAAAUGAUGCUAAAUUAUAUAUAUAUGACACUGAUAUUCUGCUUCCAAUUAUCUAUAUCCAAGUUCCAUUUGUUCCCUUUGAUUUUCCUUUCAGUAUCUCCACCAUUUGCUCUUUGUUUGUUAUAAGGUUCUUCUGUGUUAUUUUUGGUUUUCUUCUAUUUACGUUUUACAUAAUGUGAGUUUUGAGCAAAAAGCUAUAUCAUAAUGACUUGUGUUUAUUUAAUUAUUUGUUGUGGUCAUACUGAAAGUCAAUCACUUCAUCUGUCUCUUUUUGUGAUCUGAAGGCCUGAAAAUCACACUAAAGACCGAUGACAUUAAAAGAGAAUUCAUGAAAUUAAAAAUUUAACAUUAAAGGAUAAAAAUUUAGAUGUGCUGUCAUUUAAUUUUGUUUUUAGAAUCUGUUGUAUAAUUCCCUUUCUUAAAUUACCUGAAUUGUUCUGCAAGUGAAGAUUAUUUUUUUUGGUAACAACUGUAAAAUAUUACCAUAACCACCCAAGAACGGAUACAAAUAAAGAGCACCUAAUUCUGAUAAUAGAGAACAGGCCUCCUACCAAACAUAAAACCAAUUACAUAACAAAUGUUGAAUAAAGUGUCUACAAUUUUUUUGCUUUCUUUGAACUACUAAGUGUAAUCUUUCAAUAAUUUCCUUAUUUAUCUGUGUUACUGCCUCCUUCGUAUGUACACGUUUGUCUGUAAACCUCCUCCAAUUCCUGGCACGCCAAGUGUGGUAUAUGAUAUCUCCACAGAUAGCUGCCAUGAUCUCCUUUUUAAUUGCUUCCGGUGAUUACCUUUUAUGUUUUCCAGGACCUUCAUGAUACUAAUAAUCUGCACUGGUAUUUCAGUCCAAUGGUGCAUAACUUGCCACACAGCUAAUGUCCAUUUGCAUUUCUCGAAUAGGUGAACAUUAGUCUCCAUUACUUUCUCAUCACAUAAACAACAUUCAGUGUCAUCAACCUGAAUAUUCAAUCUCAGCUUUCUCUCCUGUGUAAGAUUUCUAUUUCACUAGAGUAUUAUAUUAUUAAAAGAAUUAAUUAUUGAACAUAAAUUUGCUUCAUAGUCAAAGCACACCAGUAAAAAAGAGUUGGUAUCAAUGAAAACAAAAUUAUGACAUGAGAGAUUAGUACACUUGACUUGAACACAAGUUUCAAAAUAAACCAUGAAGAGAAAACAAAUAAAUAAUUAGCCAUCUUUAUAAUUCUAUACACAAAAUGGAGAUGAAAGUGUAGGUCAGAAAGACCACAGAUUACAGAACUAUGAUCACCAGUCAUCUUUCCUUCUCCGUUGGAUGGCAUUUUAGUUCACUUUUCUCCAUUCUUUUUACACACCUUAUCUCAGAAUCUCCCAUCAAAUUUAACUCUGUGUGUGUGGCGUACCUAGAAUCUAACAACAUCUUUUGACUAAAUACCAUCCUAAAUUACCCCUACAUUUAUACAGUGUGCUAUUGGAAGUUACUCACUUUAGGAAACAUGAAGUUCUUAUCUUUAAUCUAUCACUUACUUGGUUGUUUAAGUUAUUUUUAUUUUAUUGCACGGAGAGUUACUUACAUUUUGAAAAAUGUUGUUCUAAGCUUUUAACAAUUAUUUAUUUGGCGUUCACACUUUGUGAGUGCUCUCUUCAAAACGUGGAAAAAAUAUAUCCUAAAUAGCUUCUACGACAAUCGCAGUAAUGCAUCAAACAAUGACACUGUAGUUUAUCUGAAUUACUCACCUAAUCAAUUAAGAUCUUGACACACUUUCUACAGAUCUUUUAAGAUCCUAGAUGAAACAUAAGUAUCUUUAAAGUUAUAGCUCGCUAAUUACUAUUUUUUGCACUCAGUUUUAGAAUUCUUUAGUUGACGAUUGGUGUUUACUUGAUUUUUGAAGGUAUUUCAAAACAUCUCCCUGUUAUGUGUUUCCGGGAUAGCAAAGGUUGGCUACUAAGCUAGGUAUUGUAUCUCCAACACAAUUGAAAUGAUAGAUCAAGUUAGCUCUGCAAUAUUUACUAAAACUGUAAGUUCUUGAAAUCUUUUGGAUAUCUUUCAUCUUAAAUAUCAGUAGAUUUUCUUAAAUAUUUGUUCAAGGUUCUUCAUUCCUCCAACUGGCCGUGGUUUAGUGUUUAUGUGAUUAUACUUGUUGUCAUUGUUACAGUUCCUUACAUAUAUGCUCCGCAUUAUUUUGUUAAAAGUGUAGAUAGGUAAUAUAAUUAUUCUACAUCACUAUAGUGUAAGAGUAAGUAUGCUAACCAAAAGGGCACUGUGUGUAAUUGCAUCAGGGGCGUAAUAAUAAAAAUUUCUAUUAAUUCUAUUGUAUAGAAACAUGAAGAGCUAGGACGACCAAUGGCAUAACCAUAAAUAUACUCAAUAUUGAAGGGUAAUAUGGUCAUUAUACAACACUAAUUUUUUAGCAAUUAACAUGCGCCUCUUCUAUUUUCCUUCUAGAACAUUCUCUCUCUUCCUUCCAUGUUGCAAUUAAGAGAUGACUCAAGAAAAAGAAUUGGUAAAUUGAUCGGAUCUUUCCUAAACCUCCUCUCUCUAGACCUAAUAUGUGAUCUAUCUAUUUCAUAGACUUCUCUUGUGAUGCUACUAAAGCAGGAAUGGGUGGUGUAAAUGGUUUAAUUAUCGGUAUAUAUAAUCGGUUUAUACACAUAGGUAGCUUUAUGAACUUUAAAAAGGAUAUCUAGAAGGAUUGUAACAUGUCAUAUUCUACAAUUCUGAAGAGUAAGCAUGAUGAAUCUUUCUGAUUGAUAAAAAUGGCCUCGAGAGGGAUUGUAACAUGUCAUAUUUUUACAAUUGUGAAGAAUAAGCAUAUGUUGGAAUAUGAAUUUCAUAAAUUGUUGUUUCUUUCUGAUGAAUGUAGUAUAAUUGGUGCAGGUGAUUGACGGUUUAGUUCCAUUAACAGAGAUGUUCAAUUGCGUUAGUAAAACUUGAAAGGGAAUGACAAAGGAGCAUGCAUCGUACAUUAUGCAAUUAGGCAAGUUUGAUGUUGUCCCUCAACACAUUCAAAUCAGCUUGCCAAAAAGGAAGAAGCAGCAGUUGUUUAGUCAGUCAGCUUUCAAAUUUGGAUCCACGAACUUAAAAAUAGGUAUUUUUACUCAAUGAAGGGACUGCUCUUUGACAUCAUCUUGUCUUUUGGUGUUGCAAUUUCAGUUUGAUCUUUUAUCUUAAUUUUAGCCAUUAUUUUAAGAUUCUCUUUACAUUUUCCAACAUGGUUGAAGCGGUUAUAUUUUGACUAGCUUUCACUGCCAUAAAUUUCAUAGAGGCAAGUCAACAUGCCGGUUUUAUACUGAUUUGUUGUGAAUUUCAACCUCUUACUUGUUCUCCUAUGCUUGGUGGUUAAUUUCUUUAAAUUUUUUUACUCAACGGUUAGUCUCCCGUGGUUUCCACUCCAAGUCCACCAAUCCAACGUAAACUUGCCAACAUCGUAUUUCAUGAAACUUGUGUGCACUUACCAAACUACCCUGCCCCUUCGCCCUCAACCAUUAGCUCCCACGCCUAAUAACAAGGACAUCAUAGUAAAAUCACUUUGUUACCGUAAUCGAACAGACCCCAUAGAAUAUAGUUGGACUGGUUAUUUUUUUCUUUAACUUCUUUAAUAAUAAUUAAGAAUCUACGUUAACACUUGACUAAUAGUAUAUGAGUUCCCUCUGUUCUUUUUUCCAUCAUAAAGUUUAAUUUUUCUUUGUUGUUUCUAAAUUAAAACUUGUAUUCUUUUAAUUCCAAUCUUUUAACCUUUUAGGUGAACCAAGAAAAGAAAAAAUGUUGGAUGCAUAAAAGAAUAACAAGUUUUAUUCCCAAUGGUAAGAGUGACAAUUUGUUAGGGUUGGUUUUUUUUUUCCAUAAAUAUUUUUCAGAAUGUAGAAAAUUAUUUUUCUUGUUAAUUUUGCUUAUGUUGUGGGAAUUUUCUGAUAUAACAAGAGUCUACAAUCAGGCAGACGAAAACUCAAAUCGAAAUGAUCAGGAAGUAGAGAUAUGCAAUGUAGAAAUAUUUGAAGAAUGAUAUAACUGGCGUCUUAAAAUAUGGAUUGGAUGUCAACCCCUGCCACAGGGUAAUUUUCUUUUGUUGGAAUUGAUCCAUCUAUAUAUUCUGUUAUUCUAUCACUUAGUUUUAUUUUAUAUGGCCUCUUUCUUUAUACUGAUUUGUUGUGAGUUUUAGUUUUAUUUUAUAUGGCCUGUUUCUUUAUACUGAUUUGUUUGAGUUUCAACCUCUUACGUGUUCUCCUAUUCUUUGGUGGUUAAUUCCAUUAGUUUUUUUGUAUGUGCAUGUUAGUUCGUGCACAUAUCUUUUCUUCUACUUGAUUUUCCUAAAACCAAAUACACGCUAUCACUAAGAAUAAUGGUCUAUUGAGUUCUCUUCCUCUCAAUGCAACUGCAUUGCUUUGGCUAAUUUAUAUGAGCUUAAGGAAAAAGAAAAUGUAGAGUGAAUUUUUUAAAAAGAAAAUGUAGAGUGAUUUUUUUUUCUUUCUUUCUUUUCGGUGAUUACUAAGAAAGGCUAAUGAUCUAAAUUUAUGCAUUCUCUAAGUUGGUCUUUUUCAUAAGCACCAUGCCAAGUCAAAAAGGGCCACAUAAAAUAGGAUAGAUGGAGUAUAAUUUUUUUUUAAAUGUACUUCCUAUCAUAAAUAGUUAUUUUUGUAAUGAAAAAAUUAACAUAAAAUGUAUUCUUGAUAAAAAUAUUAGCCCCCCCCCCCUCCCCCUAAAAUUGAGGGCCCAAGGCAUGUGCUUACUUUUUAUAGCAUAGAGUUUACCAUGUGUUGCAAUUCUCAAGCCUUAAUUAGCUCUUGAAGAAGGUUAGCAACCACAUAUAUCUUCCUUCUCAGAAAUAUUUAUGCACAAAUAUACUUAUAUACGUGCAAGAUGUUUUAACAGUAAAUAUUGAAAUAUAGCGCAAGACUCUUCUCAUAUGAGCCAGACAUGUUUCAAUAUUCUAUGUGCUAAGAGGAUUCUUCCAUGAUUGUGAUUUUGAAUUUUGCAAUGUGAAUGACAGGAAUACUUUCUUGAAUCUAUUUCCUUAGGGCAUUGAGUGAAGGUUGUUCCUUUCAAAUUCACAUAUAACUUGGUAUAUGUUAAUUCUUUGUGGUUAUCUUCAGUAUUUUAUUUUAAAUUGACAUAUAACUUGUAAUAUGCUGGUUCUUUGUGAUUGUCUUCACUAUUUUAUUUUUACUUUUGCUUUAAGUGCUACUAUUUUUAUGAACAGUUGUUAUUUCGGAACUUUUAUUCCUUUCCUUGAGAUAUUAAAGCUGGAGUAUAUAGUUCGUGCUGAGUGAAGGAAAUUUUGCAUCUUAUCAAGACAAUUGCAAACACUCGAGGCAUCAAUGGAUUUAUGAAACGGAAUUUUAUUACUCUACAUGCAGCUCCAUUUAAGGAUACCAACUUCUAUUCUUUUGAAAAAUACAGAGAGCAUCUACUCAAAUUUACUACUAAUGAUUCAAGGCAUCACUAGAUUUUGUAAAAUGAAUUUUGUCAUAUUCUAUGAUUAGCUCUAUGUAAGUCUAUCCACUUCUAUUUUCUUAUGAUAAAUAUUGAAAAGUAUUUAGAAGAUAGUUGUCUGCAAUGUAAA
rnacentral:lncRNA from 1 species